AUAUUGGAUGUGAGAAUUGGAGGAAACCAAACUGACUGUUGUGAAAUGCAACAAACAUGUAAUAGCCAGUUUGAUUUCCUCCAAUUUUUCACCUUCACUUC
rnacentral:pre_miRNA from 1 species